rnacentral:rRNA from 1 species
AUUGAACGCUGGCGGCAUGCUUUACACAUGCAAGUCGAACGGCAGCGCGGGCUUCGGCCUGGCGGCGAGUGGCGAACGGGUGAGUAAUACAUCGGAACGUGCCCAGUAGUGGGGGAUAGCUCGGCGAAAGCCGGAUUAAUACCGCAUACGACCUGAGGGUGAAAGCGGGGGAUCUUCGGACCUCGCGCUAUUGGAGCGGCCGAUGGCCGAUUAGCUAGUUGGUGGGGUAAAGGCCUACCAAGGCGACGAUCUGUAGCUGGUCUGAGAGGACGACCAGCCACACUGGGACUGAGACACGGCCCAGACUCCUACGGGAGGCAGCAGUGGGGAAUUUUGGACAAUGGGCGAAAGCCUGAUCCAGCAAUCCCGCGUGUGUGAUGAAGGCCUUCGGGUUGUAAAGCACUUUUGGCGGGAACGAAAAGGACUGUGCCAAUACCACGGUUCGAUGACGGUACCCGCAGAAUAAGCACCGGCUAACUACGUG